AUUUUUGGGCCAGAUAUGGCUUGUUUAAAUGCUAAAAUGUUACACUGUAAUGCAGGUGUCCCAACGUCAGUUCAGCAUGGAAAGAAACCAUGUGUUGCACAAAAGAGAAAAAUCUCACUUGAUCUUGAUUAUCAGUACAAAUAUGAACUAAAAAUCAUAGCCCAAUGAUCCUUUCUGAACAGUGGUGAGCAAUCCAUCUGCCAAGAGGUGUCAGAAAAGUUACGAUAGAGAUAAUUGGCUUGUGGUGGACUAAAGUUCACAGUGACAUCACUUUUUGAUCCGUCAAUGUUGGCUCUUCCUAUCAUUGUGAAGCAAAACUUGCAAAUCAUUAAAUUGUUCAACCACUAACAGGGAAGAUGAGCUGAGUUUAGACUGUCAUGAGACAAGUUAG
rnacentral:ncRNA from 1 species